ensembl:lncRNA
CAGCCAUCCAAGGCUUGAACCUGGUGCAGGUCAGAUGGUCUGUUUGUCUCUGUGUGAUGUCACAGCCAGACGAGGCUUGAACCUGGUGCAGGUCAGAUGGUCUGUUUGUCUCUGUGUGAUGUCACAGCCAUCCAAGGCUUGAACCUGGUGCAGGUCAGAUGGUCUGUUUGUCUCUGUGAUGUCACAGCCAUCCAAGGCUUGAACCUGGUGCAGGUCAGAUGGUCUGUUUGUCUCUGUGUGAUGUCACAGCUAGACGAGGCUUGAACCUGGUGCAGGUCAGAUGGUCUGUUUGUCUCUGUGUGAUGUCACAGCCAUCCAAGGCUUGAACCUGGUGCAGGUCAGAUGGUCUGUUUGUCUCUGUGUGAUGUCACAGCCAUCCAAGGCUUGAACCUGGUGCAGGUCAGAUGGUCUGUUUGUCUCUGUGAUGUCACAGC